UGGCGGCGUGUCUUGAUUCAUGCAAGUCGAACGUGAACGUCCCUUCGGGGGCUGUUAGCGUGGCGGAAGGGCGAGUAAGACGUGGGCAACCUGCCCCCGAGAUGGGGGUAACCCGCCGAAAGGCGGGCUAAUACCGAAUACGAUGCCGCAGCCGCAUGGCCGCGGCAUGAAAGGCGGGGAUCCCGUUCGCGGGACCUGUCGCUCGAGGAGGGGCUCACGGCCUAUCAGCUUGUUGGCGAGGUAACGGCUCACCAAGGCAAUGACGGGUAGCCGACCUGAGAGGGUCGUCGGCCGCACUGGGACUGAGACACUGCCCAGACUCCUACGGGAGGCAGCAGAGGAGAAUCAUUCACAAUGGGCGCAAGCCUGAUGAUGCAACGCCGCGUGAGGGAUGAAGGCCUUUGGGUUGUAAACCUCUGUCGGGGGUUAUGAACGGCUCGGGCGCUAAUAUCGCUCGGGCGUGACAAACCCCGAAGGAAGCUCCGGCUAACUACGUGCCAGCAGCCGCGGUAAUACGUAGGGAGCGAGCGUUACUCGGAAUUACUGGGCAUAAAGGGCGUGUAGGCGGGUGCGUAAGUCCGGUGUGAAAGCCCUCGGCUCAACCGAGGAAUGCCAUCGGAUACUGCGUGUCUUGAGUUCGGGAGGGGAGAGUGGAACUCUUGGUGGAGCGGUGAAAUGCGUAGAUAUCAGGAGGAACGCCGGUGGCGAAAGCGGCUCUCUGGCCCGA
rnacentral:rRNA from 1 species